UCGCCUGUUUAUCAAAAACAUGGUUUUUUGUUUAUAUAAAAGAUUUAACCUGCCCAAUGAUUAUUUUAAUGGCUGCAGUAUUUUGACUGUACAAAGGUAGCAUAAUCAUUUGUCUUUUAAUUGAAGUCUGGAAUGAAUGGUUGAAUGAAAAAUUUACUUUCUUUAAUUUAAAAUUAAAAUUUAAUUUCUAGAUCAAAAAGUCUAGAUAUUAUUAUAGGACGAGAAGACCCUAUAGAACUUUACUUUUUCCAUAAAAAUUAUUUAUUCGUAAAUAAUUUUUCAUUAUUAUGGAAAAAGUUUUAUUGGGGUGAUAAAAAAAAUGUUUUAACUUUUUUUAUUUUUUUCACUUAUUUGUGAAUUUUUGAUCUUUUACUAGGGAAAGAAGAUUAAGUUACCUUAGGGAUAACAGCGUUAUUGUCUUGGAGAGUUCUUAUUGAAAAGAUAGUUUGCGACCUCGAUGUUGGAUUAAAAUUGGCAUUAGGGGUAGAAUAUUAAUUGCCAGGUCUGUUCGACCUUUAAAUUUUUACAUGAUCUGAGUUCAAACCGGAGA
rnacentral:rRNA from 1 species